GAUGAACGCUGGCGGCGUGCCUAAUACAUGCAAGUCGAGCGAACAGAUGAGGAGCUUGCUCCUCUGACGUUAGCGGCGGACGGGUGAGUAACACGUGGAUAACCUACCUAUAAGACUGGGAUAACUUCGGGGAACCGGAGCUAAUACCGGAUAAUAUAUUGAACCGCGUGGUUCAAUAGUGAAAGACGGUUUUGCUGUCACUUAUAGAUGGAUCCGCGCCGCAUUAGCUAGUUGGUAAGGUAACGGCUUACCAAGGCAACGAUGCGUAGCCGACCUGAGAGGGUGAUCGGCCACACUGGAACUGAGACACGGUCCAGACUCCUACGGGAGGCAGCAGUAGGGAAUCUUCCGCAAUGGGCGAAAGCCUGACGGAGCAACGCCGCGUGAGUGAUGAAGGUCUUCGGAUCGUAAAACUCUGUUAUUAGGGAAGAACAAAUGUGUAAGUAACUAUGCACGUCUUGACGGUACCUAAUCAGAAAGCCACGGCUAACUACAUG
rnacentral:rRNA from 1 species